rnacentral:rRNA from 1 species
AAUAUUGGUCAAUGGACGCAAGUCUGAACCAGCCAUGCCGCGUGAAGGAUGAAGGUACUCUGGAUUGUAAACUUCUUUUAUCUGGGACGAAAACGGGAUUUUUAUCUCAAUUGACGGUACCAGAGGAAUAAGCACCGUCUAACUCCGUGCCAGCAGCCGCGGUAAUACGGAGGGUGCGAGCGUUAUCCGGAUUUACUGGGUUUAAAGGGUGCGUAGGUGGGCUUAUAAGUCACUUGUGAAAUCUCUGAGCUUAACUCAGAACGGCCAAGUGAUACUGCUGUGCUAGAGUGCGGAAGAGGCAACCGGAAUUCUUGGUGUAGCGGUGAAAUGCGUAGAUAUCAAGAGGAACACCUGAGGCGAAGGCGGGUUGCUGGGCCGACACUGACGCU